AUAUAUAUUCUUAUUCUUAUACCAUCACCUCAUGUUUUGUGAUAGUUAAUUCAUUUGUUCACAUGUGGAGCAACCUACCCUUUGAUGUUCUAUCCUCCAUCUUCUCUUUUCUCUCCCCAGAUUCCUUAGCAAGAGCAAGAUCAUCUUGGAUCAAAUUAUUUACAGACUCAUCAUAAACACAACUUUCUUAUAACAGAACACAUCCCUAACCAAACCAGUUAUACAACCUAAUAUCAACCUAUUUUUUUGCGUUGUUUAGUUUUAGGUAAUAUCUUGUCUGAUUCAGUUUGGGUUUAGGUUCAUCUCUUUCUAUUGACUUCUUUGUUUUGAAAUCGAGUUUUUUGUUCUGUUUUUGUGAGUGUCACUCGGUGAACUCAACCGGUAACCCGCCACCGGAGAGAACCAUCAUCCGCUAGAGCCACCAUGUUUCUAAAAGUUACACUUCUCUUCGGUGAACAAGUUUUCCUUACAUCUCAAUUCAAGCAAUGGGAUCCAGGAAGAGAAAACAAAAGCUCUAUUUACAGCAACUUUGAUUUCCUUGAUUAAUGAAGAUUUGGAUUUGCCACUACUCGAGCCUUUUUAUACACCACCACAGCAACAAAACGAGAACGCAGAAGCCAUUGAUUAUGAUGAAGAGGUUGUAGACUGUGACCUGACUACUCCUUAAUGGGGAAUGUAUAUAGUCUUAGGCUUUUAUCAUUAUUUGGUAAUGCUAAGGAAGACAGUUUUAAUUCCUACAGUUUUAGUUCCUCUAGGGGCGCGAUUUAGAAAAAGUUAUGAUGAUUCAUAGUCUAUUGUCUUGGGAGCAACCACGUUUGUAGAGAGUUUUUUUGGAACUCGUCUACCCAUGAUCAUCGGUGCUUCAUAUACAUAUCUAUCCAUCAUCUUGUCAAUUAUCUUGGUGGAUACUCAUAGCGAUAUUGAGGAUCCUAAAGAGAAAUUUGUGAAAAUAAUGAAUGCAACACAAGGUUCCCUAAUGGUUGCAUCGACCAUGCAGAUGGUUCUUGGAUCCACUGGCGGUUGGUGCCAUGUAGUCAGGUUGGUUCAGAUGUGCAUUUAAAUACUUAUUUUAGAUGUUGUAAAUAUUGAGAAUUAUUUAGCUAAAAACAUCUUUGUAUAAUCUGCUAUAUUUUUUUAAGUUUUUGAGUCCUCUCUCUACUAUUCUCUUAGUUUCUCUAUCAGGUUUUGGCCUAUAUCGGUUCGGUUUUUCCAUGGUAUAGUCUUAUAUUUACGACCUAUGUUUUCAUUCAUUUACGAAUUAAAAUUUCUAUAAUUCAUGUUUUCUUAAUUGUGACUUUUAAAUCUCAGCUCGUAUGAUGUGUCGAGAUUGGACUACCUGAGCUUGUAGUAUUACUGAUAUUCACGCAGUAUCUUUCUCAUAAGGAGAGGAGACCAACAUAUUUUUAUCUUGGAUCGCUUUACGGUCAUAUUCUCAAUUCUAGUCGUGUGGACUUAUGCCCACAUUCUCACUCGUGCUAGAGCUUACAAGCGUUCACAUACUUGUAGGACUGACAGUGCUGAAAUUAUUGGUGGUGCAUUAUGGUAAGAAUCAUGUCAUAUUUUUAUAAUAGAGGACAAUAAAUUGGUAUGUCAAAAUAAGUGGCAUGUCUUUUUUAAAUUUCAUAGUAGGAAAUAUAAUAAAUGUAAAGUAUAAUUACAAUAGCUAUUGUCAAAAAAAUGUAGUCAUGCUGCAAACUAUCUAGUGGCGCGUAUUUGGUAGCCAAAUACAUUUCUUGUAUUAGUAAUGCACAAAGCAUUAAAUAUUCCAAUGAGCAUCCACCAUUGAUAAACUUUAACAUAUUAAUCUAUAAUUAAUCAUAUGCUUCUUUGUUAUCAUAUGCAAAUGGACACUAGUAUGCGAAGUAUGCAUUUUAUACUAAUUAGAUUAGGCAAGAAGGAGUAGGGUUAGAGUUUUUUUUAUGAUACUACUUGGUUUAAGCAAUAGAGGUAUGCGAGUGCAGCUCCGUUGCCACCAGCAAUACUUAGCCGCAACAUCGGCUGGCAGGUAAAUAUAAUUUAUGAAUUGGAAGUAUUUAUUAAAUUGCUUUAAAAAUGACAUAAAUUCAUAUUUUGUUUGUUAUUUUUCUUUUAUUUUCUCAUUUUAUAUUUGUGAAUUAUAUAUGAUCAUGAUUGAUUACUGUAACAAAUGUAUUAGGGGAUAGGGAAUUUUGUAUCAGCAACUAUAAAGGGGACUGGAGUGUCAACUUCUAUAUAGAAUGUGGGAUUGCUGGCAUGACACAAGUUGGUAGUCAAAGAGUUGUUCGGAUAGCAGCUGGAUUCAUGAUUUUUCUCUCCAUUUUUGGAAAGUUUGGAGCUUUGUUUGUCUCCAUCCCAGUUUAUGUACUUGCAGCAGUGGAUUGUAUUUUAUUUAUUUACGUGGGUAUGUAUAAUCAAAAAAUUUUAACAGUCGUAUUCUUAUUAGUCUUAAUUUUAUGGUCGUAACUUGCUUCAGUGUUGUGAUUUGAACAACUUUCGAAGCAGGUUUAUCUUGAGUUUCUCUUGGUUUAUGGGUUUUUCCCUACCACAUUAUAGUGCGUACCAAAGCUCGUUGGGUAUGUAUGCAUUCUUUCAUCGCCAUAAUUAGAGAAACCGAGACACCAACUGGUGGGAUCGAUAGCUGAUAGUAGGAUUGCCAAGUCGAUCCCUCCCUUUGUAGUGUUAUUGUUGAUUAUUGUAUUAAGCUUUAUUUCAUAUGAUUAUAUGUAUAUGUUACAUUACUUGCAGUACAAUAUAUAUUUACAAUAUAUAUUA